rnacentral:tRNA from 1 species
ACAUCGUCUCGCGGAUUUUGAAAAUCUACAUAGAUAUUAAAUCACGAUGUG